GGAGUAGGAGAGCCGCUGGAGGAGUAGGAGAGCCGUCAGAGCCAGGAGAGCCAUCAGAGCUCUUUUAAGAGCUGUCAGAGCCCCUGCUGCCCUGAGCCACCGCCUCGCCGAGCGGCCUUGCGGGAGCAGUGUCAUUCUGGGGAGCAGCUUCAUUCUGGGAGCGGCUUCCUCCAUGUGAGGCCUCCUCGGUGAGCGGCCUAGUCAGGAGCAGCAUCGUCUGGGGAGAGGCCUCGCCAGAGCAGCCCCUGUCCGGGGAGCGGCCCUGUCUGGGGAGUAGGCUCAUUAGCAAUGGCCUCAUCUUGGGAGUGGCCUCAUCUUGGGAGUGGCCUUGUUGGUGUGUGGCCUUGUCCAGCGCAGCCUUGUCUGGAGUGGCCUCGUCCAGAGCGGCCUUGUCCGGAGUGGUCUUGUCUGGGGAGCGGCCUCGUCCAGGGAGCGGCCUCCUCCAGAGCAGCCUCAUUGGGAGCGGCCUUGUUGGGGUCAUCGUUGUUGCCUCUCAUUCCUUUGAUCACGGACCCUAACAACCUCUUCGUAAGAGACGACCCCUACUAGUCGGUUUGGUUUCUGAUGCUUGGCGCGAAAUAAAGCCUUGCUUGACUUUCGCUUUGCAUCAGUCUUUUUCCUUUGAUCAUGGACCCUAACACUGGGGGCUCGUCAGGGAUCAAACAAUGAGAACUGAGCCAGCAUUGGAAUUUAUGGGAAAAGCCUCCGGAGGUAUUGGGAUCUUGUCUGUCUGUCUGGUUGCGGAACUCCAGGGUAUAGCCCAACGGGGAGAAGCUGGACAUGGCCAUGCUCCCCAGGGCUGGAGUGGAUGCAGGGAUGCCCCAUCCCUCUGCUGGUAGACCGACAGGGGGUUCAAGUCC